CGGAGUAGAGAGAUAUUCUUAUUUCCGUUCGAGGGUGCAAACUGCCGCGAAGCCAAUAAGGGCCUGGUCGGUGGAAAGCUUUCCCAAACUUGUAAAAUCACCCCCAAACGAAUUGAACCUUCAUUUCUUCAACCUUUCUAACCCUAAACAGCCCUUGAAUACACUCAAACAAUUCUCCAUGAAUCAAGACUAAACCCAAUAGCUAAUCAAGUCCUUUUACCAUAGGAAAUCCCGUGGUACUCAUAGAAUCGUCAUUUCUUCGUCGUAAGGUCUUUCGAAAAAAAUCUUCAACUUGAAGUAACUUAUAUUCUCGAAUGGUUCUUUAAAAUUAAGGUACCUAUUUGUAAGGUGUCCACGGACUUGGGAAACAUAUAUAGCUUCAUCGACAAAGUAUGUAGGGCUUUCUUUCCUCUUUGUGGCAUGACUACAACUCGACGAACUUUCCGUUGAAACAUUUACAAUAAAUACGAGAUGAACACGCCUCUUCGUGAUUAAACUAAGUUCUGCCCUAUAUGUAUGAUUUAUCGCAAGCACCUUUCAGGCUUCCAUAUCUCUUGUAGCCAUCAAUUGAAAUGUUUCCGCUAAACUUGAAUUGACCAUCUACUAUCCGAUUGAGUUGAACUCUUCUUUAUGUGUAAGUCAUGUCAAAUAUCUUACAUGUUCUCCGCGUCUAUUGUCUCUUGAAUUUAAGAAUGAAGGACGUAGAGACAAAAACGAUAGUCGGAGGAUAACGACGAUAGGUCACUUCGACUCCUUCUAUGAUAUCCCUUUUGAGGUGCAGAUAGGCAGGCCGACGCACCUCCUUAGUAGGAUACCGAGAUCAACUAUUGGGUGUCGCACUUCACUUCUCCGAAGUUGUUGGUUCUGAGUCUUUAGGUACAACUGCAUAAGUGUAUAUAUGGUUUUGGGUAUGGCGGGGCCCUGUCCCAACCAGUAGACAUCGUACAGUACUCUUAGAGGCUUGCAGACUAGCAGUCAGUUUAUAUAUGUUUUGUCUGGCCUUGCCGCCCUUCUGGAUAGUCGAUGUCACUUUCGUUUUGGCCUCGUCGGCCUUGCAUAUGUAUAUAUAAGUUGUAGGGCU